UCUUACCAGGCCGCGUGUGCGCCGUCUCCUUUCCGUCAUUGUCGUUUAUUGUGCCUUUUUCUCCUCUUCACCACGCACAUUUGCUGGCCUGCAUCGUCGUGCCGGGCGGGAGUGUGCCAGCAAGCAUCCUACGAGUCGUCAACGCGCAUAAGCGGCACACACGCAUACAUACAUACCCACACAUACGCACAUCCUUGCACAUCCCCAUCGGACUGCGCCCGAAACGGUAAAGAUAGGGAGAGAGUGGGGUGCGUCACGCCACGACAGCCGUGACCUAUCGAUCCUGCGAAUACAAAAAUGGAGGAGAAUGCGACUAUUCCGUAUGUGCUGAGCAUCGGCACGCUGCCCACAACCACGGCGCAACUUCUAGCGUACGUUGCCGCCUUGGUGAUGGCCGGAAUCAUCGAGUACGUCGUGCAAGUGCUACCAAGAUGCUACCGUUUUGCCGCCGCCCGUGUCAAGGAGGUCUGCAGUGCAGCAAAGGAGAUAUGGCAACCACCCCGCAGCAUCCGCAAGACUGUGUGGUGCCUCACGACGCUCAUGCGCCGGUGGGAGGUAUUCACGGUGCCGGGCAUCACCUUUGUACUGCUGUACAUGUGCGCCAUCACGAGCCUCAUUCACCUCUACAUCUUUCACCGAAAUCCUGAUAAUAUACAACUCUGGACCUACCAGGAGACACAUUUCGACCUCACGUCGAUGGGGCCCUCGCUUGUCUCCCCCGUGCACGACCCGCGCUCCUUGAGCCCGUACGGGCCGCGGUCGGACCGCACGCUGGCGCACUUCUGCGGCCGGCCCACGGCCAGCAGCUACGACGGCUACACCGGCGCGCCGCACGCGGCCUACAUGCACCAUGACGUGGAGCGCGACCGCUACGUGGUGCGCACCUUCGGCCGCGGCGGCAUGCGCGUGGACGAGCGGCGGCGCAGCGGCGUGGGCCGCAGCACCUACGAGGCCUUCUGCGCCGCCCCGCGGAGCGUGCAGCGCGGCACGCCGCUGGCGCCGUCGCCGUGGCUCGACGGCGAGGCCAACUGGCAGCUCGGCGACGCCGCGCCGCGGCACGCCGUCAACGGCGCGUUCAACUUCACUGUGCGUCCUCUCGCCGUGCCGCACGCAGCCGCAGCCGCAGCAGCCACCGGUACCACCGCCAGCCGAAGUGGCAACGCCGACGCGGACUUCACCAAGGCGGAUCAGGGGCUGCGCACGCACUACCGCCGCUACACGCGCGACGAGCUGCUGCAGCGUCACGCACACCUCGACUUCAUCUACUCCUACGUCAAUGGCAGCGACAUCACGCGCAGCUACACGAAGCCGUUUGCGAAGACGUGGGAGUGCUGGAACAUGAUUGCGUCGGUGCAGCUGCUGUGGGGCGAGAUGCAGCGCUCGGCCGACACGGACACCGAGGCGCCGCACAUCGCCGAGGACGCCUUCAGCCGCUACAUCGCCGAGCUGCUGUUCGUGUCGGCGUCGAGCCCGUGCGCCAUGUCGGAGCUGCUAGCGGACGUGGGCGCCGGCAAGGACGCGAUGAAGCGUGUGGAGGCGUCGCUGUGGUGGGCCGCCACGCACCCGAACGGGCCCCGCAGCGUCGAGGACGCACCGCUGCCGCCGCCGGAGAUGACGCUGACGAACAUGGAGCUGCUGCGCGCGCUGGGUGCGGACCUGGAGAGCGUGAAGCCGGACGACAUCGACGCAGACUGCGACGAGCUGCGCCACGGCAUGCGCGGGCUGCUGGAGCACACGCGCAGCUGGCACCGUGGCCGCAUGGCUGUCGUGGCGCCGUACGGCAACGUGCCGCUGUGGCUGAACCACAGCAGGAACUUCUUCAUGCGCUCCCUCUACGCCGCUGCCACGGCGGCCGCAGCGCGCGCUGAGGCGUCGGGUGGUGCCGCUGACGGCGACAAUCCGAGGGUUCUCGGCACGGCCGAGGCGCGUUUCGUCAAGGAGGCGCACACCGGCACGCUGCACUACACGCGCAUCCACAUUGUGGACCAGCGCGCGCUGAUGCCGCCCGCGCCGCUAACGACCGUCAACAGCUACGUCGUCGAACCCUUCGUGUACCGACUGCGCAACGCGUCCUCCGUCUUCAUCUACAUGAACGACGACUAUCUCAUCAUGAAGGACGUCGACAUCACCGACUUCGUGAACGAGUUUGGUGGACCGCUGCUGCGUAUCCGGAAGUCAGACUCGAUGGAGUACUUCGAGUCGAAUCGAGACUACUUCCGCCGGGGUCUCGUGUUCAACACGAUGCUUAUGCACCGUGACCUGGACAAGACACCCGCGGACCUGGAGGAGCUUGUGCAGCCGGCUGCUGCUGCUGCUGCCCUGACGUCGGUGGAGGGCGAGGCAGCCGUGGUGCGGCGCGGCGUCGUGCGUGCGUCGUGGGCUGCCUUCGCCGCUGCCGUGGACGCGCGCAGCAGCGUGGCGACGCCGGAAGGUGGUGCGAGGGCCACCAGCACGGCGUGCGCGAGCAACAGCAGCGCUGCUGUGUGUGCGUGGGCGGAGUGCGCGUGGGGCGCCGCUGAAGGAGCGCUGGUGCGCGAUACGUGCGCGAUGCCGCGCGUGUCGACGCAGGGCGAGCCGGCGUGGGCCGCGGAUGCAGCAGGCACCUUUGCGCUGGUGUCUCCGCCGUCUACGACGCCGGGCAGCAGCGAGUGGACGUGGGCAGGCCAGGCGCAGAUGCCGGCGCUCGUGCACUGGGGUCGCCGCGUGCUGGACCGCGUGACGGCAGACCUCAUCGCCCCGCGCUACUACCUCGAAACAGCGACGAUCGUCUUAUCAGACGACGACAUCGAGCGGUUUCCGCCGCGAGCGGCCUUGUCCAGUGUUGCAGAGCACCUGCGCUUGCUGAUCGAGGUCUUGGCGCAUGUCCGACGAGACAACGAGGAAGUCGCCGAUACCAAGACCUCGUCAAUGCAACUCCUCCGCAGGUUCACGCAGGCUGUUGCCAAUCACGAGUUCCCGACGCACCGCGUGUUCAAGACGCAGCCGCGCCUGCGCAAGUACCGCAUGCGGCUCGACAGCCACGCGCCCUACCCACAGUGCCGCAACAUGUGGGGCUACAUCCACAAGCGCUACGCACCGGACCUCAACCUGAACAUGUUCAUGGAGCGCAAACGCACCACGAUGGACCUGCUGCCGCCAUCGACGCACACGGCGCACAUGCUGCGGCAUCCGUGGGCCGCGUCGAGUCAGUACCUGCCGUACCUGAUGGCGAAGCAGGCGUGGCGCAUGCAGCGCGGUGCCGGACUGUCGCCGCUGGGCAACGACACGCCGGUGUUCCCGGUGGUGGACGUGGCGCUGGACAACGAGGACGGCUGCGCGCCGGCCACUUACAUUACGGAGGCAGAGGAAUCAGCGAGGUACCACGAGUUCCGCGAUGACCGGCUCUGGAAUCGGCGGGCAAUGGACAAAAUUCGGAGCUACCGGGGAGUCAAGCCGUUCACGAAUAUCAACUCGAAGUUCUCGAACAACGCGGUCGGCGAAACGCUCCGCAACUUCCUGGAGGAGCUCUUUCCGACCCCCAUGCUGCUGGAACAACACUGGCGCAGCGCACCGAAGGCGGAGGGCGGCACGGACGAGCUGCGGGUAUCGCGGAGGAUUGAUGGGGAGAGCGGUGCGCGUGACCUGCAGUUUGCGCAUGUGGACGUCAACUUCAAGCGCCUGAUGCACCUGCCGCUGAUCCUUGUGAGCAACGACGAGGAGGGCUUCUGCCCGCUGCUGCGCAGCUUGCGGCACGCGUUGCCGAACUUCCGCGGGCGGCGCGUGGUGCAGGUGCUGGUGCCGCCGGCGGACGGCGUGUCGCUGCGCGCGGCGCGUGCGGACCGGCGACACGCCUACCGCGACUUCCUGCCGGUGGCGCGCUGCAGCCUACCGGCUGACCGGCUUCGCCGCGUGACGCUGCCGGCGGACAGCGACGUGGCGGACGUGGUGGUGGCGGGGCUGCGGCUGGCGCGCGAGGACGUGGAGGUGGAGCGGUGGGAGGCGCCGGCGCUGGUGGAGCUGCGCGGGCGGCGCGUGGCGCUGCGCGCGGUGCAGGCGCUGGUGAUCGACGCGCGCACGCUGCACACCGGUGCACGCGGCUUCACGGAGCUGCCGCUCGCGCUGGCCGUGCCGGCCGAGCUGCUGGCGCACGAAGACUUCGCGGAGCACCUGCUGGACACCGCCGCGCAGUCGCUGGUGCGGCCGCCCACGGCAGCCGAGGCGGCCACGGUCGCCGCGGUGGUGCCGAUGGAGGAGGACGGCAGGCGUAAGGAGGCCGCCUCUGCCGAAGACUUCGCUGCGAGCGUGCUGGUGCUGUCGGAGGCAGAUGCGGAGGUGCGUCACACGCACUGGGCCCACGGCGCCUCCGAGCACGACCUGCUGAGCGGGAUGCCGCUGCCGUACGACACGAUGGAGGACAUGGAGGAGAUGGUGCAGUGGGGCUUCUGAGUGCUGCUGCUGCUGCUGCCAUGCGGGUGUGGGUGGUGCCCUCGUGAGCCUCUCUCUGCAGGUUUGUGCGGAUGCUUGUGGGGCGUGAAGGAUGUGUGAGUAGAUGAGGUAGAUGUACCGGCCGGAAACGCGUACAGCUGAGUCAGUCCCACCUACGCUGAAGUGCCUGGUGCUCAUGUCGCGCGAACGUGGAGGAGCUCCUCAUGGGCAUCAGGAGCGGGCAGCGCUGUCUGUUGGGGUAUCGAUUUCAUUUUUUCUGGAGAGAGCUAUUCUUUAAUUUUUUUAUGGUUACUGCUCACGCGCGGCGGUGGUCGAUGCAGCGGCACAGGUGGUAGCCACGUGCGACGUGUGCGCUUGAGCUUUUCUUCUAUGAGUGAUUUUUUUCUGAUUGAAAGCCCAGGGUGUGUGGUGCGCUUUCAUGUAUGUGUGGAUGGGUGCUUUCGCCCUGUGUGUGUCUUUCUCAUUCGCUUUCUUUCAUGUGUGUCUGCGCCGCGUUGCGUUCGUGCGGCGAGGCAGUCCUCUCCCCCUCUUCUGCGCUCAACAUCGUAGGUGUCUGCAUGGUGCGUAAGUCGAUCGACGGCUCGCGAGGCCGAGAGGGACGCGUGCCUUUUCGCACGCCCCUCUCUUUCAAGUGCGCGCGCACACACACACGCACCAUAACCACGAUGACGACAUCAACCACAACCAAAGCACUUCUGCUGGGUACAAUGGGCAGAAGCAUACUUCAUCGGUGUUUCCGGAGCGACGCGGGUCAAGGAGGAGGGGGUGGGCACACGCAUAUUCCGUUUUUUUAUUUUGUUUUUCUUCAUGGGAGCGAGUGAGAUGAAGUCACACCGUAGAUGUAAGACGACGCAGUGCGGAUUAGUGGAGUGUGGUGGGGGAAAGGAAGAGGCGGCGGCAGCGUAGGAGCUGCCCCGCAUACCCCCACCGCCACACAAGCAAUAGUUGAAAAAACUUGACGGCGGCUUUGGGCAGGCAAAGGACUGCGCAUGCGUGUGAACGCACGGCAAUCAGGACGCAUCCUCCCCACCACACCCGUCUUGCCAUUGGCCCUGCCCCACUCUGCCUUCUCUGCCCCUUCACCUCUGCAAGCCCGCGUUAAAUUGUAUGUGUGUGGUGUCUGUGCACGAGCAUCCCUCGCCUCUCCCCUGAUGGCAGAGGCGAGGGCACCUUACACGGUGCGCGGUGUCGCAGGGUCCAGCGCCUACGGGGCAGGGGGAGGUGAGUGCGAUGUUGUAUCGCUGCUGAUGCGCGCGGUCAGGUCCUGUAGAGGGGGGAGGGGGCGGUGCUGCGUCGGAGCGUCCUGCUACAGCGCACACGCUGGUGCCAUCUGUGUGUUGGGCAGUGUGUGUGCGUGACUCGAGUGUAUCUCGCCUGGACCUCACCGCCCAUUGGUGGGGAGGCCGAGUGUCAUCCCGAGGAGCAUAGCAGGCGGCCGCCUGCGGACCGGGUAUGGGGGUGGGCAGGCCUUGAGGCAGGGGCCGAGCGGCGUUUGGCCUCGUGCUGUACGGCAGGGCGACGAUGGCACGCGUCGAAGAGCAAAGGAAGAAAUACACAAGACGCCAGUGCCUGUCGCCCCAUCUGUUUUUCUUUUCGUGCGUUUCGUGCGCGGGGAGAUUGCCACGGCCGCACGGGGCCCUUCUGCUUGCCGCUCUUCACUGGCUACACAGCCUCCGCUAACCACCCACCCCCUGGGCUGCCGCAUGCGCACGUCCUUUUCGUUUCCUUUGGAAUCCCUUCUUUGUCGUAGCACGACAUGUUUUCCGCACGCCUUCCCCCUGCCACUCCGUCAUGUAGACGCGCAUGCCCCCAGUUUUCUUUUUGCUUCUCCAAGUAAGUUUGUAUAUGUUUUUGGCUGUGCGUGUGCCCUGUGGAGUUCAGCUGGCGCCGUGAUGUCCUCGGAGGAAGGCGCACAUAAUCAAACGGUAAAUGACCUGGUGCGCAUGCGCAGCGCACUCGCAGAGUUUCUCUACGCGUAUCUUUUUUCCAAAACAAGGAAGGAAGACGAAGGACACCGGUGCCUUGCCGGUAAGUGUGUGUGUGUGUCUCUGUGGAGGGAGGGCCUCUCAUUCUUCUAGGCCUCACUGCCCGUCACACGCACAACCUAUUGGCGUAGAUGUAGGAAGUGACGAGAGGGACGGGUGCACACCCCGCCUCCUUGACGCGGUGCGUUCUUUCUGCAAUCCCGUCACCCCUCCUUCUCGUCCCCGAUACCCGCUUCCUGCCUCUCUUUGCCCAGGUAGCACGUGCACCGCUGUGAGUCGGGAAGCAAGCACAGAGAGAGAGUCCAGCGAGAGGGCCACACUUCGCAUCAGUGAAGGCCUUCUCAGCACGAAAUCCUUGUCAAGAGAAAGGGUAUUUAUGUUUAUCUAUAUAGUUAUAUACUAUCGUGAAGGCGUGCCUCGGAGAGUGAGUGCUGAUCGCGAACUCUCGCUCUCUGUCCAACUCACCUCCUCCUCUCCGUCCCUCUGCCAGCAAGCCCCGUGCGCACCCCGUCCGUGCCCGACCUCUUUCGGUUGGUUUGGUCUCUGUAUGUACCGCCGUGCGCGUUUCUCGGGGCAUGAUGGUGCGGCCAAGACCGGGGGCAGAGAGGGGGCGGAUCUUUCGUUUUCC
rnacentral:misc_RNA from 1 species